UACGUAGGGGGCAAGCGUUGUCCGGAAUCAUUGGGCGUAAAGCGCGUGUAGGCGGUCCGGUAAGUCCGCUGUGAAAGUCGGGGGCUCAACCCUCGGAUGCCGGUGGAUACUGUCGGGCUUGAGUACGGAAGAGGCGAGUGGAAUUCCUGGUGUAGCGGUGAAAUGCGUAGAUAUCGGAAGGAACAUCAGUGGCGAAAGCGACUUCCUGGCCUGUUCUUGACGCUGAGGCGCGAAAGCUAGGGUAGCAAACGGG
rnacentral:rRNA from 1 species